GAUAGACGCUAGCGGCAGGCUUAACACAUGCAAGUCGAGGGGCAGCAUAGAUUGUAGCAAUACAAUUGGUGGCGACCGGCGCACGGGUGCGUAACGCGUAUGCAACCUACCCGUCACAGGGGGAUAAUCCGGAGAAAUCUGGUCUAAUACCCCAUAACAUAUGGAUCGGCAUCGGUUCAUGUUGAAAUUUUCGGAGGUGACGGAUGGGCAUGCGUGGCAUUAGCUUGUUGGUGAGGUAACGGCUCACCAAGGCGACGAUGCUUAGGGGGACUGAGAGGUUUUCCCCCCACACUGGUACUGGGACACGGACCAGACUCCUACGGGAGGCAGCAGUGAGGAAUAUUGGUCAAUGGGCGCAAGCCUGAACCAGCCAUGCCGCGUGCAGGAUGACGGCUCUAUGAGUUGUAACUGCUUUUGUACGAGGGUAAAGUGGGUUACGUGUAACCUUUUGGAAGUAUCGUACGAAUGAGGAUCGGCUAACUCCGUGCCAGCAGCCGCGGUAA
rnacentral:rRNA from 1 species